rnacentral:rRNA from 1 species
UAUGUGAUCGUCUCUCGCAUAUCAAUAAGCGGAGGAAAAGAAAAUAACAAUGAUUUCCCUAGUAACGGCGAGUGAAGAGGAAAGAGCUCAAAGUUGGAACCUGUUUGGCCUAGCUAAACCGGAUUGUAGACUGUAGAAGUGUUUUCCAGGCAAGCCGAGUAAAUAAGUCCUUUGGAACAGGGCAUCAUAGAGGGUGAGAAUCCCGUCUUUGGCUUGAGCAUUUGCCUUUUGUGAUACGCUUUCAAAGAGUCAGGUUGUUUGGGAAUGCAGCCUAAAUUGGGUGGUAAAUCUCACCUAAAGCUAAAUAUUGGCGAGAAGCCGAUAGCGAACAAGUACCGUGAGGGAAAGAUGAAAAGAACUUUGAAAAGAGAGUUAAACAGUAUGUGAAAUUGUCAAAAGGGAAGCGUUUGACACCAGUGUUGUUUUUCUGAAAAUCAAUUAAAGAACUGUUUAUGCUAAGUUGUCUAGACUUUAUCAGCUAUCUGUUUAGUUUUGAGCUUUUCUUUAAUGCACUUUUCAGUUAACAAGUCAACAUCAAUUUCUUUUGCUGUAAAAAAGCUUGAGGAAGGUGGCUUGAGAUUCGUCUUAAGUGUUUAUAGCCUCUUGCCUAUGCAGUCGGAGAGAUUGAGGUCUGCAGCGUAGAUCCUUCGGGGCUAAAUGCAUUUGUGCUAAGUUAUAACAUUUUAUAGACAACUUGUUGACUAUGAUUUGUCUUGUAGCUUACUCGCUUAUGUUAUUUUACCUACGCUUAGGAUGUUGAAGUCAUCGUAUCGCGC